UACGGAGGGUGCAAGCGUUAUUCGGAAUUAUUGGGCGUAAAGGGCGCGUAGGCGGUCUCUAAAGUCAGAUGUGAAAGCCCGGGGCUUAACCCCGGAAGUGCAUUUGAAACUCAGAGACUUGAGUAUGGGAGAGGGAAGUGGAAUUCCUGGUGUAGCGGUGAAAUGCGUAGAUAUCAGGAGGAACACCAGUGGCGAAGGCGACUUCCUGGACCAAUACUGACGCUGAGGCGCGAAGGCGUGGGGAGCAAACAGG
rnacentral:rRNA from 1 species